GACGAACGCUGGCGGCGUGCCUAAUACAUGCAAGUCGAACGCAGUGGGGACGGGUGAGUAACACGUGGGUAACCUCCCAUCAGAGGGGAUAACACUAGGAAACAGGUGCUACACCGAGACUGGUGAAUGGACCCGCGGUGCAUUAGCUAGUUGGGGAGGUACAGGCUAACCAAGGCCACGAGGCAUAGCCGACCUGAUAGGGUGAUCGGCCCAACUGGGACGGAGACACGGCCCAGACUCCUACGGGAGGCAGCAGUAGGGAAUCUUCGGCAAUGGACGAAAGGCUGACCGAGCAACGCCGCGUGAGUGAAGAAGGUUUUCGGAUCGUAAAACUCUGUUGUUAGAGAAGCGGUAUCUAACCAGAAAGCCACGGCUAACUACGUGCCAGCAGCCGCGGUAAUUC
rnacentral:rRNA from 1 species